UACGUAGGGCGCAAGCGUUAUCCGGAAUUAUUGGGCGUAAAGAGCUCGUAGGUGGUUUGUCGCGUUGUUCGUGAAAUCCCACGGCUUAACUGUGGGCGUGCGGGCGAUACGGGCAGACUGGAGUACUGCAGGGGAGACUGGAAUUCCUGGUGUAGCGGUGGAAUGCGCAGAUAUCAGGAGGAACACCGGUGGCGAAGGCGGGUCUCUGGGCAGUAACUGACGCUGAGGAGCGAAAGCGUGGGGAGCGAACAGG
rnacentral:rRNA from 1 species